GGGCGCUUGCCCAUUUAAGCAAAAAAGCCAGCGCUAGAGCUCUCGUCCAUCCUUAUUACAAAGGAUAGGAAGAGAACCGGAGGGAGAAGCGUCUGGGCGAGCGGGAAAGUAGCGAACAGCGGCCCCUGGGGGGCGACUCCCUGACGGGAAUUUGGGGAACGCGGCGCGCGAAUAGACAGAGCGAACGGGCGAGGCGGCGGGGGACUGUCGGGGAAGAGGGAACCGCUUGACCGGACAUUCAACCAAAUUUCGGCCGCGGGGGGGGGGAGGCUGGGACGGUACUGGGACAAAGCGGCGAUAAGCAGGCAACUGCCCGAAGCAGUCCGGGCAGCGGAAUAGGCGGCGAAGUCGCCUCACGUGGGGCCACCUCAGGGGCAACAAAGCCUGACUCGGUUCAUAUGGCGGGAAAACAAAAGGCUGCCCCCCCCCCUCGAGCGCGGGGCGAGAGCCAAGUACCUUUUCUCCGGUCACGACGUGCAGCCCUUCCCGCACUUUGGCAAAGGACCCCUCGCCCAACUUCCUUCCGAUCAGCUAAUGAAAAAUGGAGCCCUUCUGUAUUCCAAAGGAAAGUGAAAAAAGCCCAUCGGACCAUUUUCAUGAAACAGAUCAGUGGCACCGAAACAGACAGAUUCUAAAGUAUAUCAGAUGGGGGAGAAUGUUAACUUUGCCCCAAUUCCUAUUCAAUGCAGCAGUCAUCUACGCAUGCACAAUGGAUGCCUAAAAUGUAAACACCUUGCCUUAACUAUGGCUUAUGGUUUCAAAUGGUUUGGAAGCUGUUUUGAGGAAAAGCACAUAAUAAAGAAACUACAGAGUAAAGAUGAAUUGUGGCUAACUUCUUGUGUACUGAGGUUCAAACACCAGCAGUAGGAGAGCACUGGAGUCUUGAGUAAAUACACAGCCUACCUUGCAAGCAGAAACAAGCUAAGUACAUUAGGAUGCCAUUUAUUUUGCAAUGACAUGGUGUUUGAACUCAGAUACGUGAUGAAACAGAUACAGGCAAAAGGGCAUUGUUGGGUACUUAGAAGAUGCGGAGGCAUAAAAUUUGCAUAUGCUCAUUAAUAUGUAUAGGUGCAAAUUUAGGCCAACUUUCAGAGGGGAGAAAACAAACUGGCUCUUGCUCUCAGGGCAUACUCUCUAAGCUGUUGGGACUUAUUAUCAUGUAAGUGUAUAGGAGUGCAGCCCUGUGGCACCAUCCUGUGCGUGUUUAUGCAGCAUUAAAUCCUGAGCUCAGUGGGAUUUACUCCCUAGUCAUUAUAUUUAGGGUUGAAUUGCAACUUAAGUGCUUGCUUUUUUUUACAAGUUCUCUGAUAAAAUUCUUAACGCAUAUACCAACCCAACUGAAAUAUUUAGUAUUAAAUGAAGAGGAUGUAUAAGAUACUGUGUUAGUUAAGCAAAAUGAAUUACGUAUGCAACCUUUUCCCAUUGUAUUAAUCUGGAGCUCUAAAAUUGGAAAAUUCAUUUUUUCUGUCUUCCUUUGU